rnacentral:rRNA from 1 species
CUGAAUCCAUAGGUUAAUGAGGCGAACCGGGGGAACUGAAACAUCUAAGUACCCCGAGGAAAAGAAAUCAACCGAGAUUCCCCCAGUAGCGGCGAGCGAACGGGGAGGAGCCCAGAGCCUGAAUCAGUGUGUGUGUUAGUGGAAGCGUCUGGAAAGGCGCGCGAUACAGGGUGACAGCCCCGUACACAAAAAUGCACAUACUGUGAGCUCGAUGAGUAGGGCGGGACACGUGGUAUCCUGUCUGAAUAUGGGGGGACCAUCCUCCAAGGCUAAAUACUCCUGACUGACCGAUAGUGAACCAGUACCGUGAGGGAAAGGCGAAAAGAACCCCGGCGAGGGGAGUGAAAAAGAACCUGAAACCGUGUACGUACAAGCAGUGGGAGCCUCUUAAUGGGGUGACUGCGUACCUUUUGUAUAAUGGGUCAGCGACUUAUAUUCUGUAGCAAGGUUAACCGAAUAGGGGAGCCGAAGGGAAACCGAGUCUUAACUGGGCGUUAAGUUGCAGGGUAUAGACCCGAAACCCGGUGAUCUAGCCAUGGGCAGGUUGAAGGUUGGGUAACACUAACUGGAGGACCGAACCGACUAAUGUUGAAAAAUUAGCGGAUGACUUGUGGCUGGGGGUGAAAGGCCAAUCAAACCGGGAGAUAGCUGGUUCUCCCCGAAAGCUAUUUAGGUAGCGCCUCGUGAAUUCAUCUCCGGGGGUAGAGCACUGUUUCGGCAAGGGGGUCAUCCCGACUUACCAACCCGAUGCAAACUGCGAAUACCGGAGAAUGUUAUCACGGGAGACACACGGCGGGUGCUAACGUCCGUCGUGAAGAGGGAAACAACCCAGACCGCCAGCUAAGGUCCCAAAGUCAUGGUUAAGUGGGAAACGAUGUGGGAAGGCCCAGACAGCCAGGAUGUUGGCUUAGAAGCAGCCAUCAUUUAAAGAAAGCGUAAUAGCUCACUGGUCGAGUCGGCCUGCGCGGAAGAUGUAACGGGGCUAAACCAUGCACCGAAGCUGCGGCAGCGACACUAUGUGUUGUUGGGUAGGGGAGCGUUCUGUAAGCCUGUGAAGGUGUACUGUGAGGUAUGCUGGAGGUAUCAGAAGUGCGAAUGCUGACAUAAGUAACGAUAAAGCGGGUGAAAAGCCCGCUCGCCGGAAGACCAAGGGUUCCUGUCCAACGUUAAUCGGGGCAGGGUGAGUCGACCCCUAAGGCGAGGCCGAAAGGCGUAGUCGAUGGGAAACAGGUUAAUAUUCCUGUACUUGGUGUUACUGCGAAGGGGGGACGGAGAAGGCUAUGUUGGCCGGGCGACGGUUGUCCCGGUUUAAGCGUGUAGGCUGGUUUUCCAGGCAAAUCCGGAAAAUCAAGGCUGAGGCGUGAUGACGAGGCACUACGGUGCUGAAGCGACAAAUGCCCUGCUUCCAGGAAAAGCCUCUAAGCAUCAGGUAACAUCAAAUCGUACCCCAAACCGACACAGGUGGUCAGGUAGAGAAUACCAAGGCGCUUGAGAGAACUCGGGUGAAGGAACUAGGCAAAAUGGUGCCGUAACUUCGGGAGAAGGCACGCUGAUAUGUAGGUGAAGCGACUUGCUCGUGGAGCUGAAAUCAGUCGAAGAUACCAGCUGGCUGCAACUGUUUAUUAAAAACACAGCACUGUGCAAACACGAAAGUGGACGUAUACGGUGUGACGCCUGCCCGGUGCCGGAAGGUUAAUUGAUGGGGUUAGCGGUAACGCGAAGCUCUUGAUCGAAGCCCCGGUAAACGGCGGCCGUAACUAUAACGGUCCUAAGGUAGCGAAAUUCCUUGUCGGGUAAGUUCCGACCUGCACGAAUGGCGUAAUGAUGGCCAGGCUGUCUCCACCCGAGACUCAGUGAAAUUGAACUCGCUGUGAAGAUGCAGUGUACCCGCGGCAAGACGGAAAGACCCCGUGAACCUUUACUAUAGCUUGACACUGAACAUUGAGCCUUGAUGUGUAGGAUAGGUGGGAGGCUUUGAAGUGUGGACGCCAGUCUGCAUGGAGCCGACCUUGAAAUACCACCCUUUAAUGUUUGAUGUUCUAACGUGGGCCCCUUACCGGGGUUGCGGACAGUGUCUGGUGGGUAGUUUGACUGGGGCGGUCUCCUCCUAAAGAGUAACGGAGGAGCACGAAGGUUGGCUAAUCCUGGUCGGACAUCAGGAGGUUAGUGCAAUGGCAUAAGCCAGCUUGACUGCGAGCGUGACGGCGCGAGCAGGUGCGAAAGCAGGUCAUAGUGAUCCGGUGGUUCUGAAUGGAAGGGCCAUCGCUCAACGGAUAAAAGGUACUCCGGGGAUAACAGGCUGAUACCGCCCAAGAGUUCAUAUCGACGGCGGUGUUUGGCACCUCGAUGUCGGCUCAUCACAUCCUGGGGCUGAAGUAGGUCCCAAGGGUAUGGCUGUUCGCCAUUUAAAGUGGUACGCGAGCUGGGUUUAGAACGUCGUGAGACAGUUCGGUCCCUAUCUGCCGUGGGCGCUGGAGAACUGAGGGGGGCUGCUCCUAGUACGAGAGGACCGGAGUGGACGCAUCACUGGUGUUCGGGUUGUCAUGCCAAUGGCACUGCCCGGUAGCUAAAUGCGGAAGAGAUAAGUGCUGAAAGCAUCUAAGCACGAAACUUGCCCCGAGAUGAGUUCUCCCUGACUCCUUGAGAGUCCUGAAGGAACGUUGAAGACGACGACGUUGAUAGGCCGGGUGUGUAAGCGCAGCGAUGCGUUGAGCUAACCGGUACUAAUGAACCGUGAGGCUUAACCUUACAACGCCGAAG